UUUCUGGAAAGCAUGGGGCUAGAACUUACAGAAAAGGAAUUGUUGCAGCUGGUGAGAAAGUUACAAGCUGAUGCUGGUAAAAAAACCUAUCAGAAGAGGUUGCUGGAGGGUUUGAAGACACUUCCAGAAGGGAAAGUCAAGACUGGGAAGGUGGACACGUUUC